rnacentral:rRNA from 1 species
UUGAACGCUGGCGGCAUGCUUUACACAUGCAAGUCGAACGGCAGCGGGGGCUUCGGCCUGCCGGCGAGUGGCGAACGGGUGAGUAAUGCAUCGGAACGUACCCAGUCGUGGGGGAUAACUACGCGAAAGCGUGGCUAAUACCGCAUACGCCCUGAGGGGGAAAGCGGGGGACCUUCGGGCCUCGCGCGAUUGGAGCGGCUGAUGUCGGAUUAGCUGGUUGGUGGGGUAAAGGCCUACCAAGGCGACGAUCCGUAGCUGGUCUGAGAGGAUGAUCAGCCACACUGGGACUGAGACACGGCCCAGACUCCUACGGGAGGCAGCAGUGGGGAAUUUUGGACAAUGGGCGAAAGCCUGAUCCAGCCAUGCCGCGUGCAGGAUGAAGGCCUUCGGGUUGUAAACUGCUUUUGUACGGAACGAAAAAGUCUUCUCUAAUACAGGGGGCGAAUGACGGUACCGUAAGAAUAAGCACCGGCUAACUACGU